rnacentral:tRNA from 1 species
AGUGGACCAAUGGUUUGAAGACAACUUUUGAAGCAAGAGGGUGGCGGUUCGAAUCCCGCCAUGU